AAAUACAAAAGAUCAAAAUACAAAAAGGGUCAUUUUUAUCAUUAUGUGAAAGGACUCAUUAGACUACAUGACAAGUCAUGCACUCAAGGUUUAUGGAUCCAGGGGAUCCUCAAAAACUUCAAAUAGUAGGUUAGCGAUCAAUUCCUCACUAUCUUCCUCAUCUAGAGGGGGGCAUGGAAAUAGGUGAGUUCUAUAUACUCAGUAAGAAAAACAGUAUUUAAAUAAUAUAAUAAGAUUUUAAAAGUGAGUAAUUACGUCAUCAACACUUACCAUCAGAAGUCAUGUUAAAGUCUUUUCUUAAAUUAUAAAAAUAAUUUCUUUAUUUUAAAAAACAUCAAAUCCAUCAUGUCAUGCUCAUAUCAAUCAAAUCAAUUAUGCUGAUAAUAGAAAAAAUCAAACAAAUCAUGAUAUGCAUAGUUUUUCGUGUCAUUUCUUCGCAAAGUCAUUCCAACUUUCAUCUCUUGAGGGCAAAUAUGGAUUUUCGACUACCUAUGUUGAAUGACAAGUUUAGAUAUAACAUUACACAAUCUAUGACUACAGUCGUGUCAACCACAGUGGUCCUCUAAAAAAAACUAUGGUCACAGCCGUACUUCGCCAAAGGUGACUGCUAUAAAAAUAUCACGUCACUACUCUCAUCAUAGGAUACGCUGUCAUCCAAAGGAAGUGGUCAUCUCACGUCUUUUCAGACUAAAUGAGAGAGAAAUAGGAACCCUUAAGAGAUAAAAAGUCUAACGAAAUACUUUAUGAAUUAUGCAUGUCAAUACGGAUACAUAUUUCUCAUACCAUUUCAUGCUUAAUAACCUUCUCACAUUUCAGUAAUUGAUCUCAAGAAUUACAUCAUUUAAAUCACAUGCAAAUUGUCAAGUUCAUAUACGAUCAUAUAACAUGCAUUAUCAAGUAAAAUUUACUUUGUUUAGGUAUUUAAAAAUAAUCAUGCAGAUCAUAAAUUCAAGCUUCAUAAUUUGGCUCUAGAAAUGCUCCUUAAAAUAUUUAAAAGUAAAUAUUAAAUUCCUUACCAAAAUCUUGAAGUUUCUUAUACCUUUUCUUCUUUUUCUCUUCACCCUCUCUCUCUAGAUCACUCAUUCUCUCUCUAAGCUCUUGGAGGAUGGAAGAAUGGAAUGGAAAUGAUGAGGAAAUGGUGAAGGGAGGGUCCCUAUUUAUAUAAAAUAGGGACCACCAAAUUUGUGCCAAUUGGAAAAAUCUAAUGAGGGAGAAAGUUAAGGAGAAAAAAAGUGAUAUGACGACUGAUGGAUGUGAUUGACGGAUGGAUGACAUGACGUGACGACAAUGCAAAAAAUAGAGGCAUGCCAGCCAAACGAUAGCGGCGCGUUGCCUGAGCCGACAGUAGUGGCUCGUCGCCCAACAGGCAGCGCGUACAGCCCAAGGCAGCAGCACGUUGUCCUAGUCGUCUGCGUGUUGCAAGCCUACCUUUUAGACGCGUCGGCAUAGCUUGCCGCAUGCAGGCCUACUAUGCAAAUGGCACACGCACAGGGCCCACAGAGCUGUAGACUAGGUCUCGCGCCCCACACGGAUGGGACGUGCACACAGUGCGCACGUCUUGUGUUGGCCACACGCGGGCAGGACCCUUCCCGCUAGUAUUUUCCCACAAAAUUUUUGCCUUUUCUCUGUCUUUUUGUUCUAAAAAUUUAUUUUUAAAUAAUAACGAUAAAAAUAAAAUUUUUCUACGAAGAAAUAAAAAAUAUAAAUUUAUGAAUUAUUUAAAUAAAUUAAAAAUAAAAAUUUAAAAUAUGAAAUACGAUAUUUAUCCGAAAGUUAAAAUCACAAAAUAUUUGAAGAGUUUAUACAACCUUAGAACCCGAAUAAAUAGGGGUUCACAAUUACAAAUUAAGUGCAAAGGUCUCGGGGGUGUUACAUUCCCCCCAUCUUAGAAAAUUUGAUCCCCCAUAUUUUUCAUGAAUAAGUCUGGGAAAUUCUCUCUCAUCUCGCUCUCCAACUCCCACGUCGUCUCUUCUAGAGUAUGGUGCUGCCACUACACCUUCAUCAUGAAGAUUCUCUUGUUUCGUAAAACCUUAUUGGUCCAACUAAGGAUUUCCACAGAGAGUUCUUCAUACGUGAUAUUAGCUUGUACCUGCAUCUCUUCGUAAGAAAUGAUAUGAGAAGGGUCAUGGUGGUACCUUUUAAGCAUAGAGACAUGGAAAAUAUCAUGUAGACCCACAAACUCUCAGGAUAGAGCGAGACGGUACGCCACUAGUCCAACAUAUUUCAUAAUCCGAAAAGGUCCCACAUAGUAGGGGCUUAAUUUUUUAUUUUUUUGAAUCGCAUUUUUUCUUUAUUGGGAUAUAUCUUGAAGAAGACUUGGUCACUGACGACAAAUUCUAAGGGUCUUAUACGGUUAUCCGCAUAAUGUUUCUGGCGACUCUGGGUGGUGGACAAGUUUCUAUGGAUGAUAGUAACCUUCUCGAUAGUCUCUUGGAUAAAAUCAGAUCCCAAACAACGCUAAUUUUUAACUUCGCUCCAGCAAGUGGGAGAACGAUAGAGCCUACCAUACAAGGUUUCAUACAAAGCCUUGUCGACGCUAGAAUGAUAACUAUUAUUAUAAUCAAAUUCACAUAAGAGAAGAUACUCAUACCAGUUAUUGCCAAAGUCGAGGACACAAGCACGCAACAUAUCUUCUAAUGUCUGGAUAAUACACUUAGACUAACCAUCAGUCUGGGGAUGAUAAGUAGUGUUGAAGUACAAUUCAGACUCAAACGCUUUUAGAAAACUAUCCCAAAAGUAAGAGGUGAAUCGAGGAUCUUGGUCGAACACAAUGGAUGAGAGGACGUCAUGGAUUCGAACAAUUUCAUUGACGUACAGGAAGGCUAAUCUACUAGUAGAGUCAGUGGUUCUGAUGGGUAAGAAGUGGGCAAUCUUGGUUAAUCUAUCAACAAUUAUCCAUAUAGUAUUAUGACUAGAACAGGUCCUGAAUAAACUGGUGACAAAGUCUAUGGUUACAUGCUCUCAUUUCUAUUCCAGAAUCGGGAGACCUUGUAAUAAACUGCCGGGUCUCUGGUGUUCCGCUUAACUCGUUGACAAGUAAGGCAUCGGGAGACAUAGUCGAUAAUGUCUUUUUUUAUUUCAGGACACUAAUAUUGACAUCUCAGGUACCAGUACAUCUUGGUACUCUCAGAGUGGAUGGACAGUUUGGAGGCAUGGGUAGCCUUGAGAACAUUCGUCCUAAUAGUGACAGGGACCCAAAUAUGGUCUCAAAAUCUAUACAACCCAUCAUUAGUAAGCCUAAAAUCAGGAAAUUCGUCAGAAGUGAACUUACUAAAAUUUUUGGUGAUUUCUUGGUCCGUGGAUUGAGCUUCCCAAAUCUUCAUAAAAAGAUCGGGCAAAGCUCAAAUUUAAGCGAGAUAGGCACCAUUGUCAUGGCAGUUGAGGCGAAGUGCCUAGAUAACAUCAACCAAUUUUCAACUGGAGGGCAUGGUUUGGCCAAACAUAGUGAACACCUUCUAGUUCAGCACAUCUGUGACCGCAUUUCAUCUAUCGGGGUGGUAGAUCAUCUUGCAGUUAUAGUCCUUAAGGAGGUCCGUCUAAUGUCUUUGUCUCAUAUUCAAUUUCCUCUGUGAGAAAAUAUACUUUAAACAUUUGUAGUUAGUGUAGAUUUCAAAUAUCUAACCAAAUAAAUAAUUACGUUAUAUCUUCAAGGCAAAUAUUAUGGCCGCUAAUUCUAGGUCAUGAAUAAGGUAGUUGUGCUCACGGGACUUUAAUUGUCUAGAUCCAUAAGCGACCACUCUAUCGUACUGCAUCAAAAUGCAUCCUCAACUAAUGUGAGAUGCAUCACAGUAAACCUGAAAUCUUCUAGUGUUGUCGGGGAGGAUCAACAUCGAAGUAGAGGUGAGACGAUACUUCAAUUCCAUAAAGCUUUUGCCACAUUCACAAUGUUAAAUAAAAGGUAAAAUUUUCCUAGUGAGACGGGUCAACAGAGCAGCAAUAUUUGAGAAUCCAUCAAUGAAUCGUGGGUAGUAACCUGCUAAAUGAAGAAAACUACGUACCUCAGCUACGUUGGUUGGCAGGUUCUAGUUGGUCACUGUUUUAACUUUGGAUGGAUCCAUAGAAACUCUUUUGCUCGAAAUUAUAUGGCCAAUGAAGGUGACUCGAUCCAACGAAAAAAGCAUUUGUUGAGCUUAGCAUACAGCUGAUUCUAACGAAUUGUUCCUAGUACCUUAGAUAAGUGGACUACAUGUUCUUCCGGGCUCUUAGAGUACACUAGGAUGUCAUCAAUGAAUACGAUGACAUAUUGAUAUAAUCCAUGCCCGAAAACCCUUUUCAUAAGAUCCAUAAAGUUAACAUGGGCAUUAGUUAGUCCGAAAGGCAUAACUUUAAAGUCAUACAGACUAUAUCGACAUCGAAAGGUGGUCUUUGAAAUAUCUUCUUUUUUGACUCGCAAUUGGUAGUAACCCGAUCUGAGAUCGAUAUUAAAAAAGAUCAUGAGUCCUUACAAAUGAUAGAAAAGAUCAUUGAUAUGAGGUAGAAGACACUUACUCUUCAUCGUCACCCUGACUGAGUUCUUUGUAAUCUACAUAGUCUGAGGGAGCCAUUAUUUUUCUUCACGAAUAACACCGGGCCACCCCAAGGGGAAUGACUAAGGCGGAUGAAUUUUUGACUAAGAAGUUCGAAAAACUGGUUUUUUAGUUCUGCUAGCUCAGUACAACUCAUGUGAUAGGUAGAUUUUGAGAUUGGUUGUGUUCCAGAAAAUAGGUUGAUAAAAAACUCUCCCGCGGGGAGGCAGAUUGGGUAGUUCUUCGAAAAAACUUUCUAAAAGUCGCAAACCGUAGGAAUGGAGUACAUAGUAGGAUCAACAUUCAUAAUCAUGUUUAUUCAAUAGUUAAAAAAUAAUAAAAGUAGAUUUUUAUUUCAUUUUUGGGGAUCGCAAGGUUACAACUUUACUUUCGCAAUUAAUGGUUGCCCUAUAUUCCUCUAACCAAUCCAUUCAUAAAAUAACGUCAAAUCCUGAGAAAUCUAAAAGUAUUAAAUCCACUAAUAAUUCUACUUUUGAAGUUUUUAUUUUACAAUUUUUAUACAUACAUUAAGCCUCUAAUAAAACCCUAGAGGGAGUUUCUACAGCUAGUACUUCACCUAAAGGUUCAGGCCUAAUAUCUAAUUUACAAGCAAAUGCACAAAAGAUAAAAAAGUGGGCAGCACCUGUAUCGAUCAAAUAUUUGGAAAAAAUGUCAUGAAUAGAAAGCAUACCAUGGAUAAGGAUAGGAAUAGGGAGGGCACCAGGUUCAUCAAGGUGAUACACACGACCCUGAACUAUGGGUCUGGCCACGUCCUUCGGCUACUGAGAGCAAUCUUUCACAAGGUGCUGAGUGCUUCUUCACCUAUAAUAGGCGUGAUUAAAACGUCGACAAAGUAGAUCACCAUGCGAGCAUUGACAAUGCUAGCAUGGUUGGGAAGGUCACCCGGGUUGUCUAGUAGGUGGAGAUAUAGGAACGGCAAGGGUAACUCGAGGUCAUUUAUCAGGGUGGCUAUUUACUGGGUCAGAUAGUCUUUUUUUGAGUUGUUGGGGUUGGUGUUAUUGUUGUCGAGUACAUACUCGGACAAUGCGUUGGUGCCUGGCUGAGAUAAGGUCUUCAACCAAUUGGACAUAUUCAAACACCUUGGCAUAUGAGCUAGGUCUUAGCAUCGCAACCCAAUCGUAGAUAUCGGCACGAAGGCCCUUCAAAAACUUCCUACUUUUACGACUUUCGAGGGUGACCAUUAGUAAGACAAACCUAGAAAGCUGGACAAAUCGGACUGCAUAUUGGGCAACCGUCAAGUUUCCCUGGCAGAGGUCCUGAAAUUCCUCCUUUUUUUCUCGGACAUAGGCUGGAAAAAAGUUAUCAAAGAAUGUGUCGAUGAAAAAUUUCUAAUUUGUAGGGUAGGUAAGACUUCCUUUUUGAGUCACCACUAAUGUUCAGCUUCACCAGUUAGCAUGAAGGCUGCUAAGGGGACUUUUUAUUCCUCGGUUAGGUCUAAGACAGAGAACAAUUUCUCUAUCUGCAAGAUUCUAACUUCAGUUACUAAGGGGUUGAGGCCUCCUUCAAAGUGAGGCGGGUUAAACUUCCCAAACUCCACUAUAUUGUGAGAGAUAGAUCUUUUGGCUUGUCGAUAUUUUGAGGCAGAAUGUUGGCAAGGGUUGGCUUGGUUUUGUCCUAUGGCUGCGAUCUAUCCCUAGAUAACUCAAAAGAGUUUAAUAAACUCAGCCCUGGUCAGAUGAUUCUAGGCCUCGGGUCUUUCCGUACGUUCUAUAAAAGGUCUCCCUCGUGUUAUUCCUACAAACGAAAAGAAAGACAUGAGUUGGUGGUCUAGUUUUUGGAAAGAUGACUCAUUUCCUAAAUAUCCUAGAGGGUUUUCUACUGACAGCCACAAUUGUAAGGGAUUAGCCCGUAUAACUACUCUGAUACCAUCUGUGAUAUCUCAAAUGCUAAUUAAGACAUAAUGGUGUCAAAAACAGAAACAGAUUACGAGUGCAUAGUAGUUAAUUGUAUGCAGCAGAGCAAUUUAUUAAAAAUCCCUUACAAAAUAUAUGAGUUCCAAUUACACAUAUAACUGAAGGCAAAAGUGGCAACAAAAUACAAAAUAUCAAAAUACAAAAAGGACCGUUUCUAUCACUAUGUGAAAUAACUUAUUAAAGUGCGAAACAAGUCAUGCACUCAAGGUUUAUGGAUCCACGGGAUCCUCAAAUACUUUAAAGAGUAGGUCAUCGAUUGGUUCCUCACUAUCUCCCUCAUUUGGAGGAGGGCAUAGAAAUGGGUGAGUUUCAUGUACUUAAUAAAAAAAACAGUAUUUAAAUAGAAUCAUAAGAUUUCAAAAGUGAGUAAUUACGUCAUCAACACUUACCAUCAGGAGUCACGUCAGGAUCUUUUCUUAAAUUAUGAAAACAAAUUGUUUCUUUAAGAAAACAUCAAAUCUAUCAUGUCAUGGUAAUAUCAAUCAAAUUAAUCAUGCUGAUAAUAGAAAAAAUUAAAUAAAUCAUUAUAUGCAUAGUUUUUCAUGUCAUUUCUUUGCAAAGUCGUUCUAACUUUCCUCUAUUGAGAGCAGAUACGGAUUUUCGACUACUCAAGUAAAAUGACUAGUUCAAAUAUAACAGCAAUUUGCAGCUUGCUAAACCAACAACACAUUUGCGGUUUGUCAAACCAUGACACAAUCUAUGACAACGGUCGUGCCAACUAUAGUGGUCCUAUCAGAAAAACUAUUGCCACAGUCGUACUUCACCAAAGGUGACCCCUACAAGAAUAUCGUGUCACCACUCUCAUCAGAGGGUACGCCGUCAUCCAUAGAGAGCGAUCAUCUCAAGUCUUUUCAGAUAAGAUGGGGGAGAAACAGAAACUCCUCAGAGAUAAAAAACCUAAUAAAACACUUUAUGAAUUAUACAUGUCAAUACAGAUACAUAUU
rnacentral:lncRNA from 1 species